ensembl:lncRNA
UGCAUCCUUGUGCGCGUUGGCCUUCACGCGGCGCAUCAACACACGUGUGCGCGUGUUUGUGUCCGAGUGACCCCGGAAGCCUCGCCUCGCCUCGUCAUACUCUUCCCCCAGCUGAUGAUCACUCAACUUCCUGCUGUCUUUCUCCAUGACCGCUCGCUCGGCGUCGACUACGGUGCACGAUUUGGUCGCUCGGGGGGGUUUUCAUCUCCACGUGACACGAGGACGACCCCUGUUUUGUCAUCUUCUAGGUACGCUCGGUUCUUCCCCUCCUCGGGUCCAGGGGUUUAGGACACGCUUGCUUCUCUGCGGUUUUGUCCCUCUUGUCCCUCUUAUGAUGGCUGAUGCAUUUAGUUUUUGUCUUUGUUUGACAUUAAUCUUGGGAUGGGAGAUUUUUCUACAUUGAAAAAUGUAUUUUAAAUAACAAGCUGUCGGCAGCUAAAUUCUGUUGUUGUGGAUUUAGCUUCAAGUUUUGCCGCUUUGCAAUGUUGUACUUCCUGGUUUUCAAGCAAAUCCUGUUUCCCCUUCGCUUGCUUGGAAACGGGGAGAGGAGAAGAGGAACGAGGAAGUUUUCUUGAAUUUGCCGCUUUUUGUUUUUGACGUGAAUGUCAUUUAUCAGCAGCUGGAUGUGGAGAGAUCUCUUUGCUGCGACGCCUCUUCCUGCUCUUUUAAGGAAUACCAAAGGAAGUGAUCAUCAGGGAGAACAACAGAAAAAAAGCCCUGUUUACUGUGGAUGUUAUUUUUAUUACUCGUGUUAAGAGGGAGUUCAAGCUGUUGUUGAAGCACCUCUUCAGGCAAUAUGCCCUCAAACCAGGUUACUAACUGGGGCCCGACCCUGACCUUUGACCUGCAUGUGAAGGGAGCAGCGGAGACAACAACGGUUCAUAUGAGGAAACCGCAAGACGUUUUACUGAAAUUUGUGCCAAAACUUGCAACUUUACAUUAAUAAACGUAUUUAAUAAAAGAAUAUUAAAGGUAACAUUGUAGAACAAAGUAUUCAGAUCCCUUUUCACAAGUAAAAGCAUAAAUACCAUAAUCACUAAAAGUACUGCACUGAAAGUGAGAAUUCUUCAUUCAAAAACUAAUUACGAGCAAAUUCUAAUUGAAGAACUGAAGUUAAGUGAUGGCAAGAGUAUUGAUAUUAUUAAUGAACUAUAUUAAUACUACAAAAUAAAAAAUACUGUAUAACAAGCAAAGGUCUCUCAAUCAAGGUUUUUAAAGUGGGAGUAUUAGGAGCACAGUUUACAUCAAGUGUAAGUAAAAGUACACUACUGUACUUAAGUACUGCAUGUUCACAGUUUUUAACAGCUUAAUUUACUUUUGAGUACUUUUAUAUGUAACAAUGCAUCCUUCCUACCACAAGUAAAGCCGUCAAAUAAGUGUAGAAUUAAAAAUGUAUAUAUUUUGUGUGAAUUGUAGUGGAAUAGAAAUAUAAAGCACCAUAGACUGGAUACUCAAAUGAUGUACAAGUACCACAGCAUUGCAUUAAACUAGGUUCACUACUAAUGUAGAUGUGCUAAGCCAUCAUGUUUGAGAUGUUCCUUCCCAUUGCAAAGAAAAUGUCUCACUGAGCCAACCAGGAAUUUUCCAUCAUUGCGCUUACUCAAUCUUUGCAUCUGAUUUGCAUAGCUUUGCAUUCCACUGUGUUACUUGCCAGGUUAUUUUCUUCAGCAGUGUAUUCAUGAAACAUCUUGCUUUGUCUGCCCGUGUCAGAAGGUCGACGUUGUGAUAUGAAGUAAAUCUCAUACUGAGAUUUUUCAUGUCGUGGAACGCUCUCCUUCCCCGGACUGACAGGUGGUGGUAAAAAAAAAAAAGAAAAAGAAGAAAAUGUUCUCUCUUUUUUUUCAUCUCUUGUGCAAACACAAGCAAGAGAGGCUCUUAGGCGUUUGCACAGCUACAUCCUGUUCCAGAGAAUCACCCCCCUCCCACACACACAUCCACCCUUACCACAGCAUGUACAGUAAACCCCUCAUAUAAUGGUGAGGACAAAACCAAAAAACUGGUAUUUGGAUUUGUGCUGCGGUGGUAAAAUAAACAAAUUUCCUUCCAUGAAUCCUCAUCGGGGUUUGCAGCAGCAUGUGCUCGGUGUGACUGUAGGAGGAACAGAAAACAUCACGAGGACGAGGAUUGGUCAAUGUCAGUUUUUGAAAUAUCUCCUCGAAUGUUUUCC